rnacentral:rRNA from 1 species
GUUAUUUAAUGGCCGCAGUAUUUUGACUGUGCAAAGGUAGCAUAAUCAUUAGUUUCUUAAAUGGGGUCUUGUAUGAAGGGUUAAAUGAGAAGGGGGCUGUCUCUAAUUAAGAUAUAAAAUUUUAUUUUUAAGUAAAAAAGCUUAAAUUUGUAUAAAAGACGAUAAGACCCUAUAGAGUUUCAUAGUUUGACCUUUAAUAUGUUUUUAGGGUUAAAAUUGAGGUCAAUUUAUUUGAUUGGGGUGAUUAUAAAAUUAAGGAAACUUUUGUAGUGAUUUACAUAGAUUUAUGGGAAAAGUAGAUGAUCCAAUUAUUUUGAUUAAAAGAUUAAAUUACCUUAGGGAUAACAGCGUAAUUUUUUUUAAGAGCUCUAAUCAAUAAAGAAGAUUGCGACCUCGAUGUUGGAUUAAAAUUAAACCUUGGUGCAGAAGCUGAGGGUUU